AGGCGAACAUAAGGUCGGUGAACCGGGUUGCUUUGUAUCGUCGUAGGGGCGUCACGCUUCUAGCGCUUUUCUUUCUUUUGUCGUACCAAAAAAUUCUAAAUGGAACGGACUUCCCCCAAUGAAACGGCAUUAGAAAAUUUCUGUUUCUUAACGUCGUUGUGGAAAACAAACCUGUGAUGGCCAGAUGUUGCUCCGAUACCACAGACAUUUUAUAUUUUAGGCGUGGAGAAAUGAACAAUGAAACUGGAACGAUGAUGAAUAUUACUAAACUUCAUUAAUUUUAUCCGAAUUGGACACACUUUGAUUGGGCAAAUGGAGGUCAGCCGAAUUUCUAGAUUUUUCCAAUGGCUUAGCAAAUGCUCUGCUAACAACAAGUUUUGUGUUCGUUUUACCGUAAAAUUCCAGUUUUUUCUCUAAUUUAGCAUCAAACAAGGUAUCAGAAGGUGGUUCACCUUCAGCUUCAGUAAAGAAAAGUUCUGUUCCAAUAGUGUCAUAAUAUUUUCCUUCAUAAAGCUGAUUUCCUAUUUUAAUAAUAGGCUCUUCGGUCUCCAUUCCAAGAACUUUGAUGGACACAUUUUCUUGGUUUAAUGCAUCACUUCCAGUAUUUCCAGCAAAUUCUACCAAAAUGUACUGUUCUUCCACUGUUUCCUCAUUGUCACUUUCCACUUCCAUUUUGUUUUUGUUUUUUACAAUUCUUGAUUCAAAACU